rnacentral:rRNA from 1 species
GUAGGUGGCAAGCGUUGUCCGGAAUUAUUGGGCGUAAAGCGCGCGCAGGCGGUUCUUUAAGUCUGAUGUGAAAGCCCACGGGCUCAACCGUGAGGGUCAUUGGAAACUGGAGAACUUGAGUACAGAAGAGGAAAGCGGAAUUCCACGUGUAGCGGUGAAAUGCGUAGAGAUGUGGAGGGACACCAGUGGCGAAGGCGGCUUUCUGGUCUGUAACUGACGCUGAGGCGCGAAAGCGUGGGGAGCAAACAGGAUUAGAUACCCUGGUAGUCCACGCCGUAAACGAUGAGUGCUAAGUGUUAGGGGGUCUCCGCCCCUUAGUGCUGCAGCUAACGCAUUAAGCACUCCGCCUGGGGAGUACGGCCGCAAGGCUA